rnacentral:lncRNA from 1 species
GCAGAUUUCUUUUGUCUCCUGAUACGGAUCCAAUAGGACAAAUUUCUAACAAUGGUGUGGAGCAAACUUAUAUCAUUCCAAUGGAUCCAAGAGUAGUUCAAAAUCAUAUUCAUAUAAUCCAUAUAUAUUUGGGGCGUACUUUAACUCAUACGGGACAGAUUUGGUGCAACACUUGCAAUCAUAGGCUGAGGGAGUCUAAUCAAACCUAUGGGCUAAAACUACAUAAAGGAAAGCCUAAAGUAAAGAUCAAGCAAGGCUUUUGUGAAGAUUCAACUUUGUUAUGAUGGGCCUGCUAGUUUUAUUAUUUAGUUUUGUUUGGGCUUGUAUUCUGACCAUAUUUUAUCUUUUAAAGUUUUAGAGUGUUGGGCCAUGUUGUGGGCUUAUAUUUUAAUACUUAUGUGUUAUUUUAGUGUGUGAUUGGGCUUGAGUCUUAUGUGUUUAAGUCAGGCCCAAGAAGAGUGUCUUAGGGUUUUAUUUGUUUUUCUCCUUACUAUAUAAGGAUAAGAAACAAUUGUAAGAGGGAGCUUUGAAUCAAAAUUAUCAGAAUUAUUUUCAUGCCUUUGGCGUGUAUUGCUUUGAGUGAGAGUGAGGAUUUGCUUUCAUCAAUUGCACCAGGAAUCUUGGCUAACUUAUCAACUAUUCGUUGUGGCGUUUGUCGGAUUCUCAUCUAAAUCCUUCGAUCAUUGGUGUUUCAGCUUCUCUAAGUGNNNNNNNNNNNNNNNNNNNNNNNNNNNNNNNNNNNNNNNNNNNNNNNNNNNNNNNNNNNNNNNNNNNNNNNNNNNNNNNNNNNNNNNNNNNNNNNNNNNNNNNNNNNNNNNNNNNNNNNNNNNNNNNNNNNNNCGAAGGAUUUAGAUGAGAAUCCGACAAACGCCACAACGAAUAGUUGAUAAGUUAGCCAAGAUUCCUGGUGCAAUUGAUGAAAGCAAAUCCUCACUCUCACUCAAAGCAAUACACGCCAAAGGCAUGAAAGAAAUUCUGAAAAGUUUGAUUAAAAGCUUCCUCUUACAAUUGUUUCUUAUCCUUAUGUAGUAAGGAGAAAAACAAAUAAAACCCUAAGACACUCUUUUUGGGCCUGACUUAAACACAUAAGGCCCAAGCCCAAUCACACACUAAAAUAACACAUAAGUAUUAAAACAUAAGCCCAAAACAUGGCCCAACACUCUAAAACUUAAAAGAUAAAAUAUGGCCAGAAUACAAGCCUAAACAAAGCUACAAUAAAAUAAGUGUUGAAAUAAUAAAACAUAGCAAGCCCAUCAUAACAAAGCUGAAUCUUCACAAAAACCUUACUUGAUCUUCACUUUAGGCUUCCCUUUGUGUAGUUUUAGCCCAUAGGUUUGAUUAGGCUCCCUAAGCCUAUGAUUGCAAGUGUUGCACCAAAUCUAUCCCAUAUGAGUUGAAGUACGCCCCAAAUAUAUGUGGAUCAUAUGAAUAUGAUUUGAAACUCCUUUUAGAUCCAUUUGAAUGACAUAAGUUUGCUCCCCACCAUUGUUAGAAAUUUGCCCUAUUGGAUCCGUAUCAGCUACCUUGGACUACAGAGACAAGGUAGUCAGGUUCAGAAAACAAGAUGGAUCAGAGGUCGUCUUCAGAAGAGACAGAGUAGGUAUGCCUAGAAGUUUGAUAUCAGCCUUUCAGACUCAUAGGUUGCUUAGGAAGGGUUGUCAGGGAUUUCUUGCUCAUGUCGGAGAGUUAAAUUGUCAGGUUAGGGAACCGGCUUCAGUGCCCGUAGUUAGAGAGUUUCUUGAUGUUUUUCCAGACGAGCUACCAGGUUUACCACCUGUUAGAGAAAUAGAGUUCAAAAUUGAAGUAAUGCCAAGAACCAGACCCAUCUCUAUUCUUCCCUACAGGAUGGCACCUGCAGAGUUAAAAGAGUUAAAAGAACAGUUGCAAGAAUUGGUAGAUAAGGGUUUCAUCCGACCUAGUACCUCACCUUGGGGUGCUCUAGUUUUGUUCGUGAAAAAGAAGGAUGGAUCCUUAAGACUUUGUAUCGACUACAGAGAGUUGAACAAGGUCACUACCAAGAACAGGUAUUUGGUACCCAGGAUUGAUGAUCUAUUCGACUAGCUAGCAGGAGUUGGUUGUUUCUCCAAGAUAGAUUUGAGGUUCGAGUACCACCAGCUGAGGGUCAGAGAAGAAGAUGAUAUGAUACGGAAGUCUAGGUCGAGGCCCAGUCUACGUCCCUGGCAUUUAUGGAUAUAUUAUGUUAUGUUUAAGCGAAAGUCCUGAGGAGCUCCAUCGAGGGCCGGGCACAUUGGAUAUGUAGAGGGUUACUGGUGACAAGUCCAUCUUGAUGUGAAUUGUUUGUGUUCUGAUGCAUUUCAUAUGAGCAUAUGUUUAUUAAACCGUUUUUAUGUUCCGCUCACUAGGCUCUUGUAGCUUAUCCCUUUCCCCUAACCCCAGGUUUGCAGGGUCCAAGAUAGUUCGGGAAGUCGGCUUAGUAGCUGGUAUAGCCGAUGUAAUAGAAUAGUUGUGGACAUGUAAUGUAUAAUGGGUUAGAAUUGUGCUUGCCCCUAGUUUUUACCUUUGUAAUCCCUGUUAACAUGAUCUUUAUGUAAAGGUUUUAAGUAUGAUUUAUGUUUGAAUUAAGCUUGAGGCAUGUAAUGUUUACCAUACUAGAGCAUUUAAUUAGGGCUCUAGUAUGGGUUUUAUGUUUUUUGUAUGAUGCAUGUACAGGUUGAGCUUGGUUUCAUGGAAAAAUUUAAGUUUUUGUGAUAAUGUUUGAUCAUGUAUGGGAUCUUAUCAGGUACACAGGAUGUAUAGUAGGCUUGCUAUGGGUUCCGGCGACCUUAAGUCGAUCUAAGUCCUAGCGUCGAUAGCGGUCCGGUUUUCGGGUCGUUACAAGAAUUGCUAUAAUACCAUGUUGAACGAUGGAAUCUGUGAAUGAUUCAGUUGUUGUCUAUUCUUCUCCGGAAAGUAGGUUAUAUAUAGAUACAUUUACAACACAAAAUCAGGAGAAAAAAAAUGAAGCAAUCCUAUUAUAAGGAAACAAGAUAAGUCUGUACAGGAAACAAUAUAUAUCAGAUUUGUUAAUUGUGCAAAUUCCUAUGAUUAUGUAAUCUACUCCUAAUUGGGUAGUUCAUUCCAAUAAUAACAAAUAAAAAUAAAUAAAUAAACCCACAAUCUUACUGAUAUUUUAAUUAAUCUCUCAAUUUUUUAUUAUUAAAAUAAUAAAUAAAAUUAAUUUUUUAUUAUAGAAAAUAUUGACCAAAGAGGUAUUUCAAUUAUUAAAAAAUAUAUAACCUCUAAUUAAUGGUCAAUUAAUAUUAAUAUAUAUCUUUUAUUAAUGGAAUGAUCAUUUGAUUAGACGAAAAUUAAAUUUAGGGGCUAAUUUUGUCAGUGUAUUUGCCCUAGGACAUUAUCUUGGACCUUUUUCUAUGUCGUUUUGCUUAUUAAUAAAAGAUAUUUUUAUUAUUAUUAUUAUUUGUUUGCAUAUUACAUAAUAAUGAUUCACAUCCCUAGUUACUUAUUAUUAUGUUGAUAAUAAUAAAAUAUAGCUAGUAUGAUUAUUGAUUGAUAAUCAUGUGAUGAUUAUGUAUAUGUUGAUAUAAUUCAAUAAUCAUAGAUACUUGUUAGAGAAUAAAGUAUUGGAUGGACCCGCAUUGAGAUCACUACAUGGGUUAUUGUUAUAAGUGAAUCUCAAAGUAGUUAAAUCUUAAUCCUUUGACUUGAGAUUGUCAUAGUUUCCAACAUAAGGACUGUUAUGUUUUGACAUAACCAAACAUUGUCUUUAAUCGAACAAUCAUAAAGGUUAUUAUUGAGCAAGAUAGAAUUUGUCCCUCAAAUGAAUUGAUAGUGUGAUCAAUAUCAUUUGAUUUUAUCAGUCUACUUAGAGAUCGAGAAAUCAUAAGUUUGAACAUUAUAAGUUUGACAUUGACCAUGACUUAUCUUCAAACUAGAUAUCGUAUGACAAAGAAAUUAAUACAUUUUCUAUUUAUUAGGCUUUAUCGGACUAUUGAUCCUCAUAUUAGUUAGAUAGUCAUAAUGUCUUGCUAGAGGCUGCUUAUGACUUAUGGGUCUUGUGGUACUAGGCCUAUUGCCAAUUAAUGUGAGCCUAUUGGGUCAUACACAAAAGAACGUUGUUGAUGUGCUAUGUCAUAUUAAUGGGCUAAAAGCCCAAAACCCAUUAAUAUAAUUAAUAAAAAUAAAGUGUUAUUAUUAUUAAUUAUUUAUUAUUAUAAGAUAUUUAAAAGACCUGCAGUCUAUCUGUAACUGUUACAGAUAAAGGAUCUAUCACAUAAGAUAUUUGAGUAUCUACGAGAUUGUGAUAGUUGGUUAUGAACACAACUCUAUCACAUAAGAUAUUUGAGUAUCUGCGAGAUCGUGAUAGUGGGUUCUGAACACAACUCUUUUACGAAAAGAAUUGUGGGAAAAUAAAAGACUAAAAAACAUAUAAAACCUCUUCUGUGAAGUGGAAGGAAAGGUUUUUUGGGUUUUUUAGAGAAAUCUUUUCUAGUUGCAGAUUGGGAGCACAUAGAUUAUCCAUCUCAAGAGAGCUAGCACUCUAGAAAGAUAAUAGACGUUCGUGUGGAUACCGUUGAGGGUGUUCGUUUUAAAAGCAGCACCAUCAGUCCGGCAUUGUAUUUCUCAACGAGAUUAACAGGUUAGUCUCAUAUCCUUCCUUUGAAAUAAACGAAGCACUCGGAUUCUGGGAAGGAAAUUAGAGAUUUUUUUAUUUUUCCGCUGCGCAAUUUGGGUUGAAAUAAUCUCUAGAUUUCUCAACAGUGGUAUCAGAGCCAAUCUGUACUUUUCGUUUAAGUUAAUUAUGUCAUGAUUGAUGUGAUAUAUGCGAUAUAUGCUUUUUGAAUGGCAUGAUAAUUAUGAAAAAUUUUAUGGAUGAAUGAUCGGAUCAUUUAGGUAAUUUUUGUUAGAAAAAUUAAAUUAAUAAAUAAAAAAAGGGAUGAAUUUGCAACUGGAUUCAUGAUGACAGUCAUCGUGAACCCAUAAAUUGGCGACGCUGAUAGGCGGACAUGGAGGGCAUGUGACGCUCCUUCCAUCAUCGCGUCCAGUCGUUGCCGAGUCCUGGUCCGACGUGGUCAACCGCACACUUUGGAAGUUCAAUAUCGUGUGAAAGAAUCACGAUUGGGGCAUCAUUGCAGAUGUUGCAGGAGAUCGCGACUUCCUUUGCGAUGCCGUCGAUCUUGCGCUCGAUUGGCGGUGGACAGGAUAUCGGUGGGGGCGCAAAUGUUGUGCGUGCUUCCGGGGCUAGUCUCCCAACACAUGUGCAACGAUUCUCAUGCGGCGGCUAGGGCUUCUUCCUGAAGAAGAAGAUGAUGCUCUAAUUACAAUUCUGCCACUGGAAAUUUAAAAUAAAAAAAAAAUUAAAUGAGAAAAUAAAUUUUAAAAUGAUUUUCUUUUAGUCUUUAAAUCAGAUUUAAAUGACUAUAUGACGCGGAACCCUAUGGCACAAACCUCAAACCCACACGCACAAGUAGAUAUGGAAUCCAAAGAUCUGAUAAACCCACCUCCUAUGGCACCCCACACUUAGAGAAGCUGAAACACCAAUGAUCGAAGGAUUUAGAUGAGAAUCUGACAAACGCCACAAGAAAUAGUUGAUAAGUUAAUCGAGAUUCCUGGUGCAAUUGAUGAAAGCAAAUCCUCACUCUCACUCAAAGCAAUACACGCCAAAGGCAUGAAAAUAAUUCUGAUAAUUUGAUUCAAAGCUGUCUCUUACAAUUGUUUCUUAUCCUUAUAUAGUAAGGAGAAAAACAAUUAAAACCCUAAGAUACUCUUCUUGGGCCUGACUUAAACACAUAAGGCCCAAGCCUAAUCACACACUAAAAUAACACAUAAGUAUUAAAACAUAAGCCCAAAACAUGGCCCAACACUCUAAAACUUAAAAGAUAAAGUAUGGCCAGAAUACAAGCCCAAACAAAACUAAAAUAAAACAAGUGUUAAAUAAUAAAAAUUAUAGCAAGCUCAUCAUAACAAAACUGAAUCUUCAUAAAAGCCUUACUUGAUCUUCACUUUAGGCUUCCCUUUGUGUAAUUUUAGCCCAUAGGUUUGAUUAGGCUCUCUAAGCCUAUGAUUGCAAGUGUUGCACCAAAUUUGUCCCAUAUGAGUUGAAGCACGCCCUAAAUAUAUAUGGAUCAUAUGAAUAUGAUUUUGAACUCCUUUUAGAUCCAUUUGAAUGACAUAAGUUUGCUCCACAGUAUUGUUAGAAAUUUGCCCUAUUAGAUCCGUAUCACUAUAUAAAAUAGUUUUAUUAUUUUGUCAUAUAUUAUUAUGAGAUACUAUGCACUAUAGUCUCUAUAUAUGUAUGCAUAUAGGAUACUAUAAAAUAUAUAUAUGCAAGACAAUAUAAUUAAAAUUGAAAGUUGAACCCUCAAUAUAAAUUUUAAGUUUUAAUGCCACCCAUAUAUUAAACGUCUAUCAAGACUAAAAUCACCAAAAUACAGGUUUUGCCAAAGCAAAGUGCUUAGGUUAUCUUAGUAAGAUAGGGUGAGUAAUAGUUACUCAUUUAUUUAUUUUUGGUUAGGCUUAAUUAGGCUAUCAAAACGGUUUUGGGUCUAAGGCAUUAGAUGGGGUAUAACAUGCAUUUGACAUAUGAUGUCAACACCUCAUAAUCUAAGAGUUACAUUAGAUGUAAUUGGUAAGGAGUUACCUACCUAAAUAACUUAAUUCUAAGCGUCAAGCCAAAACAGACUUGGAAUUAGGUGAAAUACGGAUCUUAGCCCACUAAAAUAUUAUUAUUGUAAUAAUUCUUUUUGAGGGUUGUAUUUUAGUGGGAGAUUAUUAUCACCUGAAUAUUAAUUUACUAAAUUGAUUAUAUUUGCAUAUUUUGUAGAUCGUUAUGGCUGCUAAUAAAAUUUCUCUUUAUCACUGCGAUCCAUCCUUGAGAAGGAUAAACUGAAAGAAAAUUGGACUAAUUUUGUUGACUGAUUUAGAAACUUGAGAAUUGUUCUCAAGCAAGAGAAAAAGUGCUAUGUGCUUGAUGAAACUAUUGGAAAAUCCCGAGAUUAUUGCAACCCAAAUUGUGCAGCGGAAAAAUAAAAAUCUCGGAUUUCCUUUUCCCAGAAUCCGAGUGCUUCGUUUAAUUCACAAGAUGGAUAUGAGACUAACCUGUUAAUCUCGUCGAGAAGAUACAAUGUUGAUGGAUAUGAGACUACAACUUCGGGUAUUUAUGUUAUAGAUAUUAAUUUAUCUAUAUCUACUUCAUGGGUAUUAGAUACCAGAUGUAGUUGUCACAUUUGUACAAAUGUACAGGGUCUCAAAAGGAGUAGAAAACUAAAAAAGGGCGAUGUGGCCCUACGUGUAGGCAAUGGAGCAAGAGUUGCUGCCUUAGUUGUAGGGACUUAUGAACUUGUUUUGCCUAAUGAGCUUUUAUUAUUUUUGAACAAUUGCUUUUAUGUUCCUACUUUGAGUAGGAAUAUUAUUUCAGUUUCUGUUUUGGACGAUGAAGGUUUUUCAUUUCUUAUUAAGAAUAAGAAAUGCUCCAUUUAUAAAGAUGAUUCGCUUUGUUGUAUUGCAAAUUCAUAUGAUGGCCUUUAUUUCCUUAAUCUAGAUGAUUCUAAAGACAACAAUAUCUAUAACAUAACUUCUACGAAAACUAAGCCAAAUGAGUUAAACCCAACAUAUUCAUGGCAUUGUCGUUUUAGCCAUAUAAAUGAGAAUCGCAUAUCUAAGCUCCAUAAGGAUGGUUUAUUAGAUUCAUUUGAUUUUGAAUCAUUUGAAAAUUGUACAUCUUGUUUGCUUGGUAAGAUGACAAAUGACCCUUUUAUUGGACAAGGUCAAAGGGCUUCAUACUUAUUGGGCUUAAUACAUACAGAUAUAUGUGGUCCACUAAGCAUUAGUGCCAGAGGUGGUUAUCAAUACUUCAUUACAUUCACUGAUUAUUUCAAUAGGUAUGGCUAUGUCUACCUAAUGAAACAUAAGCAUGAAUCAUUUGAAAUGUUUAGAACUUUUCAAAAUGAAGUAUAAAAUCAAGUUGGUAGAACUAUUAAAAUGCUUCGAUCUGAUCGAGGUGGUGAAUAUUUGAGCCAAGAGUUUGAUGAACAUCUUAGAAAUUGUGGAAUUGUUUCACAAUUAACUCCUCCAGGAACUCCACAAUGGAAUGGUGUUUCUGAAAGGAGAAACCGAACUUUAUUAGAUAUGGUUUGAUCUAUGAUGAGUCAAAUAAAUCUCCCUUUAUUAUUUUGGGGUUAUGGCUUGGAAACAACUGCAUCCGUUUUAAACCAAGUACCAUGGAAAGCGGUUGAAAAGACACCAUAUGAGUUAUGGAUUGGCAAAAUGCCCAGUUUGUCUUUUCUUAAGAUUUAGGGUUGUGAGGCUUAUGUGAAACACCCAAUUUCAGAUAAGCUAGCUCCAAAAUCUAUCAAGUGCAAUUUUGUGGGGUAUCCUAAGGAAACCAAAGGAUACUAUUUCUAUAUUCCCUUAGAGAAUAAAGUGUUUGUUACUCGAAAUGGUACCUUUUUAGAAAAGGAAUUUAUCUCUCAGAGAUUCAGUGGGAGUACAGUGCGACUUGAGGAAACUCAAGCACCACAAGAGAGCAUUAAACUGCCGAUAGAACCACUUUCAGAACCACAAACAGUUGUAAAAACUGAAAGGGUGACACAAGUCCCACACAAAUCUGAUAGGACACGUCUUUGUGGUUAUAAUGCCAAAAUAUCAAGUCGGCUCAUUCAUCUCUUGGUGUUGAUUGUUACAGGCUUCUUGAAUCUUCUAUUUACCCAUUUUUUCCUUGAUUUAGUAUUUUUAUUUUUAUGUAACGCAAUCUUAUUGCUAGGAAUUUUCUUGUUAAGAUCCUAUAAAUCGAUUAAAACCUCAGAUUCAUACUAGAACAACGAUGAUUUAAUAAAACCCUCAAACUAAAGAUUCCUAGAGUAAGAAUCGUUGCAUCAUCACUUAUUCAAUGAUUAUAAAUAUAAUGAGUAAAAUCCAAAGAAAAAGAAAGGUUUAUCCUUUGAUUAAACAUAAAUUAAAAGUUUAAAAGAAGAAAAAUCUUUCAAUUUAUACCUUAUAACUCUUUGAAAUUUUUUGGAGUCCGGUCACGGGAUCUGAAUAUUAAGUAUGAAUGUUAUGCUCUUCUACAUCCUAGGUCUUCCCGUUCCUUCAUCUAGCUUAUGUUCUUCAUGUAGCAUUCAGACCGAAUGACUCUAUGAAAUUACGUCGAUACUUCCACAUAUCAUAUUAGGGAUAACGUAGGAGACAUUUCUAUUUUUCCCCCGGGGAAUCUUUAGAAUUACCACUGCUUAGCUUUCAAUUCGCCUCUGACCAUCAAAUGAAAUGUGAAUAAUCCGUCCUCCUCUCCUUGAAACAAGGGGCGCUUCUGGUUCUGUCGGUGCUGGAAACAAUUUUAUCUUCUCCAUAUUACUAUAUCUCUAGAGUCAAUAAUUUUCUAUGAGGAACUACUGAACUCAAUCACUUGCUGCCAUUACUCUUCAGUUUUCUGUUGAGGUCUAUCCUGUAGAGGUACUCAAAUUGGAUCAGUGAUCGAUUUCUAGGUUUCGUCGUAAACCUAAUUGGUUACUUCCAAUUACGUAAAUCAAUAGUUCAAACCGCACUCAAAGGUAGGGCAUUUCCCAUUUUUAUAGGAACUUCUGUACCAUAAAUAAUGGUAUCUCCAAUUAUAGCCCCUCUGGGAUGUAAAAUAUAUCUCGUCUCACCAUCCCCAUAGUGUAUGAGACAAAUGUAUGACAUGGAUGGAAAUGUGCAUGCCUACAAACCAAGGCUUGUCGCAAAAGGUUUCAAACAAACUCAUGGUAUAGACUAUGAUGAGACAUUUUCGCCAGUUGCAAUGCUUAAGUGGGUUAGAAUUCUCAUUGCCAUUGCUGCAUACUAUGAUUACGAGAUAUGGCAAAUGGAUGUCAAAACAGCUUUCCUUAAUGGAAACUUGCUCGAGGAUGUGUACAUGACACAACCUGAGGGUUUUGUAAUCCCUGAGAAUUCUGGAAAGAUUUGCAAGCUUCAAAAAUCCAUUUAUGGAUUGAAGCAAGCUUCUCGGAGCUGGAAUCUUCGUUUUGAUGAGACAGUCAAGGACUUUGGAUUCAUCAAGAAUGAAGAUGCACCUUGUGUUUACAAGAUGUUUAGUGGGAAUGCGGUUGUGUUUCUAGUCCUAUAUGUGGAUGACAUAUUACUCAUUGGAAAUAAUAUCCCUACCUUGCAAAAGGUUAAGACUUGGUUAGGGAAUUCCUUUUCAAUGAAGAACUUGGGUAAGGCUGCAUAUAUCCUUGGUGUUAAGAUCUAUAGGGAUAGAUCCAAGAGGAUAAUCGGUCUGAGUCAAAGUACUUGUAACGACCCGGAAACCGGACCGCUACCGGCGCUAGGAUUCAGAUCGACUUAAAGUCGCCGGAACCCGUAGCAAGCAUAACAUAUAUCCUGUACAUCUGAUAAAAUCCCAUACAUGAUCAUACAUUUUCAUAAAAACUUUAAACUUUUCAUAUACCAAGCUUGACCUGUGCAUGCACUAAAACUGUAUACAUAAAACCCCUUACUGGAGCCCUCAUCAAAUGCUCCAGUUGGGUCAACAUCUCAUAUGUCAAGUCUUGUUCAACAUAUAUCAUCAAUAAAACAUUUCAUAAAGAUCAUGUACAACAGGGAUUUACAACCAAUAUUAGGGCCAAGCACAAUACUAAUCCUCAAUACAAUACAAUACAUCAUAAUACAUGUCCACUACAAGACUAUUACAUAGCAUAAACCAGCCUCUAGCCAACCUCCAGAGCUAUCUUUGACCCUGCAACCUGGGGGUUAGGGGAAAGGGGUGAGUUACAAGAGCCUAGUGAGCAUAACAGUAAAAAUGGUUCAUGAAAUAUAUGCUUUCAUGAAAUGCAUCACAACACAAACAAUCCACAUUACGGAUGGACUGACCCAAAAAUCCCUCUACUCCAUGCCUGGCCCUCGGUGGAGCUCCUCAGGACUUCUAUUACAUAACAUAAGCUGUGUGCCAGGGGCGUAGUGCAGGCCACACCUGGUCUUUCCUGUACUCUGUGCCAGGGGCGUAGAAUGGCAGCCCUGGUCUUUCCUGUACUCUGUGCCAGGGGCGUAGAAUGGCAGCCCUGGUCUUUCAUUACAUAACAUAACAUCUAGAGGGCUAAUGGGUCGUCCUGUUGUCUAUCCACAUCAAUAACCAAUUAUGCAAUGCGGCAUAUUCGUGAAAUCUAAUGCAUCCAACCUAUUUCAUAUACAUGAUGCAUGAACAUACUUAAAACAUUUGAUUUCUUGAAAUAAAAAAUUAGUUUAUUUCUACUCACCUCUGGCUGACUCUGAACUAACUCUGAAGCAGCUAUCUCACUGCUGAUCACCUCGGUUCCUCAGGUCCGAUUCUACACAGGUGGACUCAAAUGAGGGACCAAACAUACUCUAACAUGACUCUAAACAACUCCCCAAAAACCCCUCCCAAAACAUCAUAAAACAUGCAUAGAAAACAAGCAAAGGAAGGUUGGGCAGGGGACUUUCGGUGGCAGGUUCGACGGCUGAAGGUCCCUACAGAUCCGAAAGUCAGGCACUUUCGGAGGCAAGGUUCAGCGGCCGAAAGUCCUCCACAGAUCCGAAAGUCAAGCACUUUCGAGGGCAGGUUCGGCGGCCGAAACUCCCCUCCAGAGCCGAAAGUCCAAACUUUCGGAGGCGAGUUUAGGCGGCCAAAGCUGCCUCCACAGGCAGGUUCGGCGGCCGAAACUGGCUUCGGCGACCGAACCUGGGUCCUCCUGAAGGGUAGAACCCGAUUUCGCCUCACUCAUCCAGCCACCCAAAACUUUUCAACUUGCAUCCAACUAUUCUAAAACAUGCAUACACACAUUUUCAAGCACAUAGGGGCAUAAACUAGCCUAAACCCCAACAAACAUCAACAUAGCAUCACAUUUAUCAUUAAACUAACAUAAACCCUAACAUUCUAGAUCUACUCUGGUUAUGCAUUAAACACCCUUAAAACCCCUUAAAACUCACUUAAAACCUAAAAGAAGAGGAGGAUCUACACUUACCUCUUGAAGAUCGAGAGGAGAUGCGAUCCCAAACUUGGAGAUAUGGAGGAACGAGCUCCGGGGGUCUCCAAGCUUCAAGACUUUGAUUUUGAGCUUGAAAACUUCAAAACAAGAUAAAAGCUUUUAAAAAACUUGAAAGAUUUGAAAGAAAACAUAAAAUCACCCAAAGGAUGGCGAAAUCUCACCUAUGCCCGAAAAUAGAGAGAGAAAACUCGCCCAUUUUCGAACAAGGGGCCUUUUAUAGGUAGCUAGCCAGACCACCUUCGGGGACCAAAUGUGCUUCCACAAACUCCCCAUGUUCAGCGGCCGAACUUGAGAUUCGGCGGUCGAACCUAGGUUUUUCCUUCAUAGUUUUUUCUUUCAAAACUCAAUUUUCUUUCUUCAUUAAAACCAUAAAAGCAUUAAAAACAUUUUAUGAAAACCUUAUUUUACCCUUCUAGAAGGCUCCGACGUCCGAGAAAUUUCGGAGUCCAACGGAGAUUCCGCUGGAAGGUGGGAAUUUCGAUGCCGGAGUCUAGCCGGGUAUUACAGUACUUAUAUUGACAAGGUGCUGAAAAGGUUCAGCAUGCAAGAUUCCAAAAGAGGAUUCUUGCCCAUGUCUCAUGGUAUUCAUCUCAGCAAGAAUCAAUGUCCUAUGACAUCUGAAGAACGAGAAUGAAUGAAUAAGAUUCCUUAUGCUUCUGCUAUUGGAUCUAUCAUGCAUGCCAUGUUAUGUACUAGACCAGACGUCUCAUAUGCCUUGAGCAUAACAAGCAGAUAUCAGACAGAUCUCGGUGAAAGUCACUAGACAGCUGUUAAGAAUAUCCUAAAGUACCUUAGAAGGACUAAGAAUGCAUUCCUAGUUUAUGGAGGUUUGGAAGACGAGCUAGUUGUAAAAGGUUACACAGAUGCUAGUUUCCAAACCAACAUAGAUGACUUCAGAUCGCAGUCAGGAUUCGUAUUCACUUUAAAUAGUGGAGCUGUUAGUUGGAAAAGUUCCAAGAAGAGGCAGUCUGGUUGAAGAAAUUCAUCUCAGAGUUGGGAGUGGUUCCCAGCAUUGCAAAUCCUAUGGACCUUUAUUGUGAUAAUAAUGGUGCCAUAGCACAGGCAAAGAAGCCUAUAUCUCAUCUGAGAUCUAAGCAUAUACUCAGGCGAUAUCACCUUAUUCGAGAGAUCAUUGAUAGAGGAGAUAUCAAAAUAUGCAAAGUAGAUACAAAUGACAACAUUGCAGAUCUACUGACCAAGCCUCUCUCACAGGUCAAGCAUAAUCAGCACACUAGGUCUAUGGGUAUUAGAUACUUGUAUGAUUAGUAUCUAUGAUUAUUGAAUUAUAUCAACAUAUACAUAAUCAUCUCAUGAUUAUCAAUCAAUAAUCAUACUAGUUAUAUUUUAUUAUUAUCAACAUAAUAAUAAGUAACCAAGGAUGUGAAUCAUUAUUAUGUAACAUGCAAAUAAAUAAUAAUGAUAAUAAAACCUCUUUUAUUAAUAACCAAAAUGACAUACAAAGAAAGGUCCAAGAUAAUGGCCUAGAGCAAAUACACUAACAGUCUCAAGGUCUUCUUCCUCGUUUCUGUCUUUUUCUUUUGGUGCUGCCUUGGCUCUUCUUAUUUCAUAACUUGCCCUUCCAUCUUCGUUUUGACGGAUGAACUUAUUCAAACCUUCCUUCUUUACCAGCUUUUCAAUUUCAUCUUUUAGGUUUCGACAUUCAUCCGUUGUGUGGCCGUAGCCAACAUGGAAUCGACAAAACUUGCUCUUAUCUCUUCCAUUUGAAGUAUCGAGGUUCAUUCUCCAAGGGUACUUGAUAUGUUCACCAUUCUUCUAAAUCCACAUGAGAACACAAGAUCUACUUUUAGUUAAGGGGGUGUAACUUUGAAACCUUUCUCUUCCUCUAUUACUAGGUAUCCCUCUAGAUGUACCCCUUCUAUCCUUGGACUUCUUCUCCUCUCUCCUUUCUACUUUCAGGGCUUGCUUCUCAUCAUCAAAACGUAUGUACUUUUGGUUCCUUUCCAUCAAUUGGUGAUAAUCUCUUGCUGGAUUCUUGAUCAAAGGCUCCAUAAUUCUUGUGUUAUGGCAUCCCUUUUUGAUAGCUUCACAGGCUUUUUCAUGGUUCAGGUUAUCUACCUGGAUGGCCUCUACAUUGAAUCUGUCUACUUCUAAGGAACUCCUAUUCUUCCUAUUUUAUCUUUUGAAGGUCAAAUGAUAACUUUUUGGGGGAAAUACGUGUGAUGAAUCGCUGUUUAAAGGCGUAAGCUAAUUCCUUAAAGUUACGAAUGAAAUUAGUUGGGAUGUGCUGGUACCACUUUUGAGCUAGUCCAGUGAGAGUAGAUAGGAAGACCCUGCAAAGAACCAUAUCUUUAAUAUUCUGCAGAAGUAUAGUUGAUAUGGAUUCAAUAGGGCAAAUUUGUAACAAUGGUGUGUAGCAAACUUAUGUCAUUCAAAUGGAUCUAAAAGGAGUUCAAAAUCAUAUUCAUAUGAUCCAUAUAUAUUUGGGGCGUGCUUAAACUCAUAUGGGACAGAUUUGGUGCAACACUUGCAAUCAUAGGCUUAGGGAGCCUAAUCAAACUAAUGGGCUAAAACUACACAAAGGGAAGCCUAAAGUGAAGAUCAAGUAAGACUUUUGUGAAGAUUCAGCUUUGUUAUGAUGGGCUUGCUAUAUUUUUAUUAUUUAACACUUGUUUUAUUUUAGCUUUGUUUGGGCUUGUAUUCUGGCCAUACUUUAUCUUUUAAGUUUUAGAGUGUUGGGCUAUAUUUUGGGCUUAUGUUUUAAUACUUAUGUGUUAUUUUAGUGUGUGAUUGGAUUUGGGCCUUAUGUGUUUAAGUCAGGUCCAAGAAGAGUGUCUUAGGAUUUUAUUUGUUUUUCUCCUUACUAUAUAAGGAUAAGAAACAAUUGUAAGAGGCAGCUUUUAAUCAAAAUUUCAGAAUUCUUUUCAUGCCUUUGGCGUGUAUUGCUUUGAGUGAGAGUGAGGAUUUGCUUUCAUCAAUUGCACCAGGGAUCUUGGCUAACUUAUCAACUAUUCGUUGUGGCGUUUGUCAGAUUCUCAUCUAAAUCCUUCGAUCAUUGGUGUUUCAGCUUCUCUAAGUUUGGGGUGCCAUAGGAGGUGGGUUUAUCAAAUCUUUGGAUUCCAUAUCUACUUGUGCGUGUGGAUUUGAGGCUUGUGCCAUAGGGUUCUAAGUUUGGGGUGCCAUAGGAGGUGGGUUUAUCAAAUCUUUGGAUUCCAUAUCUACUUGUGCGUGUGGGUUUGAGGCUUGUGCCAUAGGGUUCCGCGUCAAUAGUUGUGCGAAAGUUUGCCAGAUGGUUGCAUGGGUCAGUCUUCUCAACAUACUUGUCCAAAGAGGGUAGCUUAAAUUUAUCUGAAAAAGAUUCUGCUAAAAUCUCAACAGAGAAGGGAGAAACAUCUCCAAUUCUGAAGUCGUCUUAUAGCUGCUCCUUUUGAAAUCUUCUUACCACACCCAUUAAUCUUGCAUCCAGAUGCUCGCGUUUUUGGGUUUUAGACUUUAUUCCGACAGUUUCUAGACUCUUUGAGUCUUGUGGAAUGGCAUCCCCAUCUCGUUUUUUCAGAAGUUCUAUUAACAUCUUCAAUUUCUAUUGAAGUUAUUCCCGUGUUAGGGACUCAUCUUCGAGUCAUAAAUUGAUACUGUGGCUUGGUUUCCAUUAUUGACUGAUUUGGCGAUACUGUUGUUAUCCAUUGUUAGGAUUAGGGGUAAAAAGAGAUUAAGAAUAGACUAAAGAAAGAAAAAAUCGAGACAAACAAUCACGAAAUUUAUAUUCUAAUGAGAAAAUUUUUUAUUUUCCACAUACGAGGCCAAUGAUGCUGCUUUGGUUCUCCUUUCGAGUGAUGGAUCUGCAAAAUAAUAAGAGACGCUGGAUGGUUUGGUGGAUAAAACCUCUGAUACCUAAAUGAAAAAAUUACUUUUUAGUCCCUGAGGUUUAACGUAAUUAACACUUCUGUCCCUCUAUUUUGGCGACCCAACACUUAAGUCCCUCACUUUCUCUUCCGUCCAAAUUCGUAGUCCUUCCGUCCAAAAUAGCCGUUUGGGACACGUGAAUUGACAAAAUUAAUCCUCUUCUUCUUCUUCUUCUUCUUCUCUUCUUCUUCUUCUCUUCUUCUUCUUCUUCUUCUUCUUCUUCUUCUUCUCUUCUUCUUCUUCUUCUUCUUCUUCUUCCUACCCACUUCUUCUUCUUCUUCUUCUUCUUCUUCUUCUUCUUCUUCUGGAAUUUCACAUUGAAAGAAGGGUAUUUUUGGAAAAAAUUAUCACAUCUCACCUUUGACUCUUUCACCAAACGGUUUAAAUGGACGGAAGGACUACGAAUUUGGACGGAAGAGAAAGUGAGGGACUUAAGUGUUGGGUCGCCAAAAUAGAGUGAUACGGAUCCAAUAGGGCAAAUUUCUAAUAAUGGUGUGGAGCAAACUUAUGUCAUUCAAAUGGAUCUAAAAGGAGUUCAAAAUCAUAUUCAUAUGAUCCAUAUAUAUUUGGGGCGUGCUUCAACUCAUAUGGGACAGAUUUGGUACAGCACUUGCAAUCAUAGGCUUAGGAAGUCUAAUCAAACCUAUGUGCUAAAACUACACAAAGGAAAGCCUAAAGUGAAGAUCAAGUAAGGUUUUUGUGAAGAUUCAGCUUUGUUAUGAUGGGCUUGCGAUAUUUUAUUAUUUGAACACUUAUUUUAUUUUAGCUUUGUUUGGGCUUGUAUUCUGGCCAUAUUUUAUCUUUUAAGUUUUAGAGUGUUGGGCCAUGUUUUGGGCUUAUGUUUUAAUACUUAUAUGUUAUUUUAGUGUGUGACCAAGCUUGGGCCUUAGGUGUUUAAGUUAGACCCAAGAAGAGUGUCUUAGGGUUUUAUUUGUUUUUCUCCUUACUAUAUAAGGAUAAGAAACAAUUGUAAGAGGCAGCUUUUAAUCAAAAUUUUCAUAAUUUCUUUAAUGCCUUUGGCGUGUAUUGCUUUGAGUGAGAGUGAGAAUUUGCUUUCAUCAAUUGCACCAGGAAUCUUGGCUAACUUAUUAACUAUUCGUUGUGGCGUUUGUCGGAUUCUCAUCUAAAUCCUUCGAUGAUGCGGAACCCUAUGGCAUAAGCCUCAAACCCACACGCACAAGUAGAUACGGAAUCCAAAGAUUUGAUAAACCCACCUCCUAUGGCACCCCAAACUUAGAGAAGCUGAAACACCAAUGAUCGAAGGAUUUAGAUGAGAAUCUGACAAACGCCACAACGAAUAGUUGAUAAGUUAGCCAAGAUUUCUGGUGCAAUUGAUGAAAGCAAAUUCUCACUCUCACUCAAAGCAAUACACGCCAAAGGCAUUAAAGAAAUUAUGAAAAUUUUGAUUAAAAGCUGCCUCUUACAAUUGUUUCUUAUCCUUAUAUAGUAAGGAGAAAAACAAAUAAAACCCUAAGACACUCUUCUUGGGUCUAACUUAAACACCUAAGGCCCAAGCUUGGUCACACACUAAAAUAACAUAUAAGUAUUAAAACAUAAGCCCAAAACAUGGCCCAACACUCUAAAACUUAAAAGAUAAAAUAUGGCCAGAAUACAAGCCCAAACAAAGCUAAAAUAAAAUAAGUGUUCAAAUAAUAAAAUAUCGCAAGCCCAUCAUAACAAAGCUGAAUCUUCACAAAAACCUUACUUGAUCUUCACUUUAGGCUUUCCUUUGUGUAGUUUUAGCACAUAGGUUUGAUUAGACUUCCUAAGCCUAUGAUUGCAAGUGCUGUACCAAAUCUGUCCCAUAUGAGUUGAAGCACGCCCCAAAUAUAUAUGGAUCAUAUGAAUAUGAUUUUGAACUCCUUUUAGAUCCAUUUGAAUGACAUAAGUUUGCUCCACACCAAAUUUGCCCUAUUGGAUCCGUAUCAUUCUCUCCUUCUUUAGAAAAGAUUCGUCCUCGAAUCUUGCUGAUAUUUAUGUCAAACAGGGAAGCUUUAGGAACCAUGUAUCUUCAAAGACCUCCUUUUGAAUAGGUGGAAAUAGGAUAAAACUUUCGUCAUGAAUGUUUUCAUCAACAACCUGCACAUCAAGAACAACUGAACUAGGCAUAAAAAUAUUAGUCAUAGAAAUAUCUUGUGGAUGUGACCCAUUCUCCUCUACAACUUCCAAAACAGUCUCAUUCACCUCCUCCACCUCAUCAAUCACGUGCUCCCCAUGUCCCUCAUCAUUCACAACCUCUUCUAUAAUAAGUUCAUUGAUGGAAUUCUCAACAACAACUAUAUUAGAUUCAUGCAUUACAACUUCCUCUUCAAUUUCAAUCUCUAUGGAAGUUGAGAUUGGAACUUUAGCCUCUUCUUUCUCCUUUUCUUUCUCCACCUUCACUCCUUGAACUAGUCUUCAUUCUUUUCCAGGCUGUUUACCCUCAAACUCACUCUUUUCUCUUAUCUUUUCCGUAGAAUUCAAGCUCUCACUCCCCUUUGUGGCCAAGGCCGAAGCCUCCCUCUCCCUCUCCAGCAUCUUUAUGUGAUCAACAUAUACCUCUUGAGGUGAUAAAGGAGCGAGUAUAACCUUCUGUCCUUCAUGAGUGAAGGAGUACUUGUUAUUGAACCCAUCAUGUUGCACCUUUCUAUCAUGUUGCCACGGUCUACCCAACAACAUAUGGCUUGCCUGCAUAGGUACCACAUCACAUAAGAUCUCAUCCUUGUACCUACCAAUAGAAAAUGGUAUAACCACCUGGCGUGUAACCCUAACCUCACCACAAUCAUUCAACCAUUGCAAUCUGUAUGGCUUAGGGUGGUCAAUAGAAGCCAAGCCCAAUUUCUCCACCAUAUACACACUUGCCACAUUUGUGCAACUACCUCCAUCAAUAAUGAGAGUACACACUUUUCCAUUAACCAAACACCUAGUGUGAAAUAUGUUUUCCCAUUGUUCUAGGCUUUCUUUCUUAACCUGCAUAUUCAGAGCACGCCUAGCAACAAGCAUCUCACAAUGUGCAGCAAGCAACGCAUUAUUAACCAACACAUCCAAAUCAUCACAGUCAUUAUUGCAAUUAGGAGUUUUUUGAGGUAUUCUUGUAGAAGUAGAAGCUUGUGAGACAUUCAAACUCUCCAUAGUUUCAGUCAACCUUUCAAGAGUUUUAUUGAGCCUUUGUAACUCACCACUGACUGACUUCUUAAAGAGCUUAUAAUCGUUACCCAUAUUCGAUUCACUUCCAUCAGUACGAUCCACCACAUUCUUGUCUUUAGUCAUCCUACCUUAAAUCAACAAAGAACAAAAAGAACUAGCAAAUAUUGUGUUAAAAAAAGAAAGUACUCAAGUGUUUGCACUCUUACCAUUCUUUUGCUUAUUCUUCAAUUGCACUUCAGAAACUAAGGUCAACCAACCAACCACAAGGUGUGUUUAAUGAAAGAAAGAAGAAAACCUAAAGAAAGAAAGAAGACACUGACAAUUUGGAAAGUAACACACGAACUAGGUUUUGUGCUACUUGAAAAUAUCACCUAGAGUAUAGACCCAAGCAAACAAUACUCCAGCAAUGUCAAGGAAGCAAAAGCAAGUUUAAAUCAAAAAAAGAAACUUUGAAUUCAAAUAAAAACGAACCUGGACAAAAGUUUGAAAUUAAUUCACUUCAAAGCAAAUUAAAUAUGGAUCUAAUUAAAUCUACCCAAAAAGGAAAGUAUCAAAACACUGCAAAUAGAAUCAGAAAAAAAAAAUGUAAAUUUCUCUCAGAUCAGAGACAUGGACGAAAAUUCUGGUGUUAAAAGAAGGAUUUGACAUCAAAUCAAUGUAGAUGCAAUUGCAUUAAAUGUGCACUUUAGGCAAUAGGCAGAAUUUCUUUUAUCUCAUAAUCUGGAUUCAACCCAAUUCAAAAUUCAAAAUUCAAAAUUGAUUCCUAUAAUUUACUGCAAUCAAUUGAAAUAGGUAAGGCAAUAUGGAUGAAAAAGGAAGUAUAUCACAAUUUCGGCCAGAUCAAGGUAAAUAAUGCAAAGGCGAUUUUUUUUUUUCAAUUUUUUUUUAGAUUAAUAAUCAAGAAGGUGCAGCCAUGGAUACAAAAGUUUUCACCGAAAUCAACAAGAAAGACAAAGGAAAACUCAAAAACCCUAGAUCCUAAGAUAAAUAAGAAUUUACCUCACUUUUGGCUCUGAUACCAACUGACGCGGAACCCUAUG